rnacentral:lncRNA from 10 species
UCCAGACUACCCGUUCUUGUUACCUCUAUUAUUAUACUACCCAGCUUUAUUUUUAAAAUAAAUUUUAUUGCAUACAUUUAAGGUAUACAAUGUGAAGCAAAUUAACAUAUCCAUCAUCUCAGUUACCCACAUAUUUUUUGUUUUUUGACAACAGCAGCUGACAUCUACUCAUUUACCAUGAAUCCCAAAUACAGUACAAAUUUGUUACCUAAAAUCCUCAUGUUGUACAAUAGAUCUCUAGACUUAUUCAUCCUACAUAUCUGCUACCUUGAAUCCUUUGACCUACAUUCCCCAUUUCUCCCUAUCCCCCUAUAACCAGUUUUGCUCUUUAUAUAUUUAAAUUUUUUUUUUAGAUUCCACAUAUAUGUGAAAUUAUGCAGUAUCUUUUUUUCUGUCUGGCUUAUUUCAUUUAGCACAGUGUCCUUCAGGCCCAUCCAUGUUGUAGCAAAUGGCAAGAUAUCGUUGGUUUUUUUUUUUUAGGGAUGAAUAAUAUUCCAUUGUGUGUAGGCAUAUAUAUACACAGUUUCUUUAUUCAUCUGUCAACGGACACUUCAGUUGUCUCCAUGUUGGCUACUAUGAAUAAUGCUGCAAUGAACACGGACUGCAGAUAUAUUUACAAGGUGGUGAUUUCAUUUACUUUGAGUAUAUGCCCAGAAGAGGGAUUGCUGGAUCGUAUGGUAGUUUUAUUUUUCUUUAGA